GAUGAAGAACGUAGCGAAAUGCGAUACGUAAUGUGAAUUGCAAAUUCAGUGAAUCAUCGAAUCUUUGAACGCACAUUGCGCCCGCCAGUAUUCUGGCGGGCAUGCCUGUUCGAGCGUCAUUUCAACCCUCAAGCCCUCGGGUUUGGUGUUGGGGAUCGGCGAGCCUUUCUGGCAAGCCGGCCCCGAAAUCUAGUGGCGGUCUCGCUGCAGCCUCCAUUGCGUAGUAGUAAAACCCUCGCAACUGGAACGCGGCGCGGCCAAGCCGUUAAACCCCCAACUUCUGAAUGUUGACCUCGGAUCAGGUAGGAAUACCCGCUGAACUUAAGCAUAUCAAUAAGCGGAGGA
rnacentral:misc_RNA from 1 species